CUACCACUGCCCAGUUCCUUCUGUGCUUUUUCUUUUCUUUUGCUUUUCGAGACAGGAUUUCUUUUGUAACCGUCCUGGCUGUCACAAAACUCCCCCUGCAUCUGACUCCAGAGUGCCACGAUUAAAGGCUUGCGCCACCACUGCCGGGUUCUGUGUUUUCUUUCUUACAGGUGGCAUUCAGUUGUGACUGGCCCUCGUCUUCCUGUCACAGUUGUCUGGAGGUCUGAAGGGGAAGACGGAGACUUACGAGGAUUGAUGGAGAAAUGCCUAUCAGAAUGGGAAUAUUUCUGGCAUGGAAAUGGCAGUGAUGGCGAAAUAGCAAUUUCUCCAGCUAUCACUCAAGCAAAUAGCAUACAAGUGUGUAUGUGUGUGUGUGUGUUGUAUGUGUGUGAUAUAUUGCCAUCCAGACAAUAAUUUCUGAGAGGAUGGAAACCCAGUCUACUAUGCACUUGGGGACCUGACCAGAAGGGCACAGUGCUUGUGGAGUGCAUACAUGAUUGGUCCAUGGCCAUUGAGAGGAAGGAGCACGGGAGGAGGGCAGGGAGGAUGGAGAAGACUGAAUUGGCAGGACUGAGUGUCACUUCUGUUCUUUCCUUACCACAGAGGCCAAGAGAUGUGACGAACAGUUUCCUGCUCCAUUCUUUCCGAGUACAGUAGGUCCUGUGCACCCAUGGGUUCUGCAUCCUUGACCUCAACUAAGUACAGAUCAGAAGCAUUGAAAAAGAGAAUUGCAUUGGUAUUGAACAGGAUUAGGCUUGUUCUCAUAGUUCCCUAGACAGUGUAGUGUCAAAUAAUUUGAAUGCCAUUUCCAGUAGGUAUUUUGAGAAAUCUAGAGCUGAUCUGAAGUAGGUAAAAUGCUGUGAGCAAGUUCUGUGGAAAUACUCUGUCACUGUAUAUAAGCUCUUGAGCAUCUGUAGAUUUGGGUAUCUGUGGGAUCCUGGAAGCAAAUGUUCACAGAUAUCUGGGGACAGCUCUCCAGGAUCUGCAACUCCCUCCGAUUCCCUUAGGUGAUUUCUUUACCUGUGUGUCUGUCUUUCUGUCUGUCUUUCUGUCUGUCUCUCUCUCAUCUGUGUGAAUGAAGCAAAAGACUGUUCAGGAUUUUGGGGGUGUAUCUGGUGAUGUAGUUUGGAUGUGGACUAGUCCCCCAAAGGCCCAGUCACCAGUCAAUGGUGCUAUUGGGAGGGGGUGGGAACUUCAGGAGGAAGGACUGAGUGUGGUGGCUUGGGUCCUCGGAGCUAUGCCCUUGAGGAGGGCUGCGUGCUGUGGGUCUUUUUCUCCUUUCUCUGCUUCCCUGAGGAUGUAGCUUCACCAAAUUCUCUCUUGAUACCAUGAGUGACUUCAAGAGAGGUCCCAAAGCCAAGAGGUCAGCUGUCCCGAGACUGAACCUCCCAAAACGGUGAGGCAAACCAACCUUUCAACCCUUCAUUCUGAUUAUCCUCGGUGUUUGUUGCAGGAAUAGAAAGGUACCGAUAGAAUGUGACAAAUAUGGUCACUGGUCUCUAUCUCUCUCUCUCUCUCUCUUUUUUUUUUUUUAACAAGAAUGACUAUUCCCUUUUGGAUUUUUAAGGUAUAUUCUAUUUUUAUAUGUCAAUGCUUAUAUGUGCACAUGUACAUGUGUGUGGGUGCCUGUGGAGGUCAGAAGAGCGUGUCGGAUCUUCUGGAGCUAUGGUUAUGGGCCAUCAUGAGACAUCUGAUGUCGGUGCUGGGAACUGAAGUCUGUUCAUCUGCACGGGUAGCAAAUGCUCUUUACUGAGCCAUUUUCCCCCCUUUUUAGUUUUUAGUUCUUUAUAGCCCAUAAGCUUAUAUCCUUUAGGAGUGAGAUAAUCCCAUAAUUGGGCGUGGGUGUCCCUGGCUGGAUCUGCAGGCUACUGAUACCGAAAGCUCCUGAUGUUUCAAGGCAAUCCACAGAAGCUCAAGUCCUUCUCACUGUGAGGAAUUCCCUUUGUUCCUGGACCACAUCCUCCUACUUUCCACUUUCCCUUCCCCCAGGGGCCAUGGUGUACGGGGUGUGGGGGGGGGAACCACAGCCCAGAGUAAAGAGCACUGGGCUUGGAACCAGGAGAUAAGGUUUAAGUCCCAGCAUAGGGUACUCAUUCAUCAUGUGGUCUUGGGCAAAUUUCCUGACUUUGCAGUCUUAAUGGGCCCCAGGGCCACUAAUGCUUCCUUCCUGGUAGAACACCACAUGACUCUCAGGGUGGGGAGCUCAGCACUACAUCUAAACUGUGACCACACAGCCCCUCCUCUAGAGGGUCCCAAUCUGUUAAGGCCAGGGAUGCUCUGGCAGGUGGCCAGAGUCAGUCAAUUCUCAUACCAUGUUUCUCCUGCUCCACAAUGACAGUAACAAUCACCACUAUCAUACCCUUCAGUAGCUUUUCAUCAAUGCAUUAAUUAAAAAAAAAAUCCCAGACUCAUUGUACCAUUAACCAAGAGCCUCGGUUUGCUAUUUGACACCAAGUGGAGGUUUGUGCCUCAGUUUACCCUUCCAUAGCAUCAAGGAAGCGGGCGAUACAUGCCUCUACAACUGCAACUCAUUUCGGGUUCUCUGUUCCCACUUCUAAUUUCGUAGCAAAAGAAGCGGAAGCUCAGAAUCAACCUCUGGAUCAGACCCAACUCAAACUCGACAUCAAAGCCCAAGUGGAUGAGUGGCCUAGGAAGUCUCUCUUGACUUUAUGACCCGCAGAUCAGAGGAGCAGGACAGGAGGUGGCUACUCUGUUGGCACUCAGUCUGUGGGGUGCAGGAGCAACACCAAACCUGCUCAAGUGACUUCCGGCCUUGUUCUCUGGGCUGGCUUGACCAAUCAGCCAUGACGUGUGGCUUUGCUCGGCUUGUGCUCCUUCCGUGACGAACUACUUCUCCAGGACAAUGAGGCUGAUUGAGUCUAGGCAGAGACCUUAAGAACCACGAACCGGAAACCACUGUCUCUUUAUAAAUUGGUAUUUGUUCUAGUGACCAACUGCCGACUAAUAGGUCCCCUAAGAUAAAUCCUGUGCUGGUUACUUUUUUGUCACCUUGGCACAAACUAGAGUCACUUUGGAAGAGUGACCCUCAUUGAGGAAUUGCCUCCAUCAGAUUGGCCUGUAGGCAAGCCUGUAGAAUAUUUUCUUGAUUGAUGAUUGAUGUGGGAGGGCACAGCCCACUGUGGGCGGUGCCAUUUCUGGGCAGGUGUUCUGGGUUGUAUAGGAAAGCAGGCUGAGUAAACCAUAGAAUGUAAUCCAGUAAGCAGUGUUCUGCUAUGAUCUCUGCUUCAGUUCCUGCCUCCAGGUUCCUGCCUUCCAUUCCUGCUUUGGUUUCCCUUGAUGAUGGCCUGUAAGGUGAAAUCAGCCCUUUCCUUCUUCCCAAGUUAAUCACUGUUAGGAGCACAACUUAUGAAACCAUUUCGUGUAACUGGAAAACCAUCAUGUAACUUAAACGCCGUUUUAUGUAACUUGAAAUAAUACAAUGCCUGAGCUUACCACUGGGCAAGCUGAUAAGAGCAGGUCCUCGAGCAAGAUCACUGAACAGUACCAUUUUACCUAGCCCAGGACAAACCCUGAUAGGCUAGGGAACCAGCUCCAAGCUGUGAACCCUGAUAACUCAAAGCUACCACCCAAUGAAAUGAUCCACAAAUUGGAACUUUGGAAAUGAUCAGCUAACCCCUGUGUUGAUACUCAUCCUCCGCAAGAGAACUUGAGACUCUGUGCCUGGCCCCGGCCUCAGUGACUGCUGAACUUCCGGCACUGUGACUAGACUCAUACAGGUUAGCCUGUCAGCACUAGCUGCUGACCGGCUCUCUCAAGGCCUUCUCGAAUAUCCAUUGGAGCCAUCAUCCCUGACUGUCCUAGCUGAAGGACUUCACAGUGAAUGUGGACUGAGCCUGCAAGCUUCUGAAGGUCCCCACUGGAGAAGAUUUCAUAGUAACAGAUUUCCCUCUAGCAGCAUUUCUGCCCAGAUGACUGUUUCCUGCUUGGUGAGAUGUCUGUUUAAUUUUUAUAUUAGCAUGACAUGAUGAAGAAGGGUUUUGUGAGCAAAUCGAGCAUAUUCGAAAGACAAAUUUUAUGUGGACGUCCUAAUUGCCGAGCGCCUUAUAGCCCACAGACCGUGCUCUCUGCAUUUGUGGUGUUCAUUACUGCAGUGGAAACCAAACCAGGACAUAUCCAGUUCCCUUCCCCAGGAAGUCAGCUGCAUCUAGAUAGGUAGAGGGAUGGCUUUAUAUAAGUCCUAUUUUGCUCAACAUAAUGCUUACUGGUAGUCAGUACCCAAGGGACAGACUAGCCCAGGGGCUGAUGGGAUUCCAAGCAGAUAGACUAGCCCAGGGGUUGAUGGGAUUUCAAGGAGACAGACUAGCCCAGGGGCUGAUGGGAUUCCAAGCAGACAGACUAGCCCAGGGGCUGAUGGAAUUCUGUGUAGUGGUGUCCCGUAACUGUUAGGAAACAGGUAGGUAAGUACCCGUGGGUCACUCUGUCUCUAGUAUAAAACUAUAUAUUGCUUCCAUGUUGAGAAAGUGCUUUUUAAGAAAACAUAGCAAAAGCAUUUUUUGUAGCUUAACUCUUAGGGGUGUGGAAAAGUUUGGUAGCAGAGUCCUGGAAAAACUCUGAAGUGGCCCAGAUCUGUGAACCCAGAAACCACACCCCUUGGCUUUCAUCUCUGAGGAUUUCAGAACCGUUGAUGCUUCAGCUAACACAGACAUGCCCUCCCAAAGCUCUCAAGACUGUUGGAAUUUGUGAAUAUUUUUUAUAUUUUAAAUAAAACUAGUUUUGAU